UGUUUUUGUUAAUUGUUUAAUUUGUAAGUUUAUAAUAUUGGAUUUAUUGCCUUUUGCAUCAUGCUUAAUGGAUUUUAAAAUGAAUUUUGGGUACCGAAAGAUUUAGAUCUUGUUUAGGAUUGUUUUUGUGAGUUUGGGGCUAGCUGUGUAAGUUUAGUUUGAGAUUCUAUUCAUGUGGUGAAAUAUUAGGCGUUAAAUCUUAUAUUUGUUAAACUAUUAGGUUUUCGUAAUAUGGCUUGAGGCGAUGAAGUCUAUAGUCGGUCUAUAUUACUUUGAUUUUGUAGCUGUUAUAAAUAGGUUAAAGAUACUUAUUUGUAGAGAGUUUGUUAAAAUUCUUUGUAUAUAAUGAGUAAAUUAGUUGUGGUGAUAGUUUAUUUAAUAUUUAGGUUUGAGUUAUUAUUAAAUAAGUAAUGAUAAUAUAGUAAUUGUUUCUCGAAGUUUGUCCGUCUGUUUAUUAAAAACAUUUCUAAAUUUUAUUAUAUUUAGUAGUGCCUGCCCAGUGCUUUAGUAAAUGGCCGCAGUAUUUUGACUGUGCAAAGGUAGCAUAAUUAAUUGCCUUAUAAUUGAAGGCUUGUUUGAAUGGCUUGAUGUGAUUUUACUUAACAUUUAUUAUUUUUUUGAAAUUAUUCUUAGGGGUUCAGAAACCUUGUAGGUGAAUUAGACGGAAAGACCCCAGGAGCUUUUGUUUUUGUUUGGGGAAAAUUUUAAUAGUUUAUUAAGAUUGUGACCCUAAUGGUAUAGUGGGUUAAGUUACCCUGGGGUUAACAGUGUAAUAGUUAAUGAAAGAUCUGAUUGAAUUAACUGUUUGCCACCUCGAUGUUGACUUGGGUUAAGUAUAGGUGUAGUAGUUUAUGCUUUAGGUCUGUUCGACCUUAGUAACCUUCAUGAGUUGAGUUAAGACCGGUGUGAGCCAGGUCGGUUCUUAUCUAUUGUGUUUGCUUAUUAGUACGAAAGGACCAUAAGCUUUUUUAUU
rnacentral:rRNA from 1 species